CUAACAUAUGUUUUUUUUCACUUUCUCUUGACGUGUUGCUGCAUCAUGCAAUGAGUUAUAUAUCACAGUGAUAUAUCUCGUCAUCACGCCUCUCGUGUUCGAUUAGUAAUGCCUACAGAGUCCAGUAGGAGAGCGCUCGCGGCAGCAGCGCGUGACUGUAGGCCUGCUCCAUUCGCGCUCAAACAGCCGCAGAGGGACAGUCGCUACCGGAUGUUCUCGUCCACCAAGGUUCAGUUCCUCCUUUGCCUGCCCACGUGUCAAGGUGUCCUUGGGCAAGACGUUGAAUUUCACACUGCUCCCGGUGGCCAGGUGCCGACGAUCCAAAGUUUUAGUGACUUCCUUCCCUGGUCAAACCGAAGUCGUCAUUGGACCUCAGUUGGAGCCUGAACCUGACAGGUUUUUAGGCUAAUUUGGAGUUUAGCUAAUAUUUUAGCUGGCUGUCAACUUCUGC